rnacentral:rRNA from 1 species
UUUCCGUAGGUGAACCUGCGGAAGGAUCAUUACCAAGAGAAAUCUUUCAACACUGAAAGAUCUUUUCCUUUGUGCUGGCUUUGACCGUAUGUAAUUUUGGGACUUUAAAAUGGUUCGCAAGGGCCGGUCCCAAAAACAAUAUAUCAUCCUUAUGAAAUUUUUUCUGAACAAUUAAACAAAUGAUUUUAAUAAUCUGUUUAAAACAACUUUCAACAACGGAUCUCUUGGUUCUCGCAUCGAUGAAGAACGCAGCGAAAUGCGAUACGUAAUGUGAAUUGCAGAAUUCAGUGAAUCAUCGAAUCUUUGAACGCACAUUGCACUCCUUGGUAUUCCGAGGAGUAUGCCUGUUUCAGUAUCAUGAGCACUCUCACACCUAACCUUUGGGUUUAUGGCGUGGAAUUGGAAUGCGCCGACUGUCAUGGUUGGCCCUUCUAAAAUGUAGUUCUUGGCUGUCACCUAAUACAGCAGUUUGGCCUAAUAGUUUUGGCAUUCAUUGUCAAAUCUUUGGCUAACAUUUGCUCCAGGAGUCAGUCUUGAUAAUACAGAAAACUCAUUCAAAUUUUGAUCUGAAAUCAGGUAGGGCUACCCGCUGAACUUAA